AGUGAACGCUGGCGGCAGGCCUAACACAUGCAAGUCGAGCGGCAGAACGGUGCUAGCUCGCGGAUACAGGGGCGGAGGGGCGGACAAUGCCUAGAUAUCUGCCAGUCAGCGGGGGAUAACGUGCGAACACGGGCGAUCAUACCCUAUUAGCCCAGACGACGUACGGGGGGAAUCUUCGGACCUCCCGCCCUUACACGAGUCUAUGACCCAAUGUCGGAUUAGCUAGUUGGCGGGGUAAAGGCCCACCAAGGCGACGAUCCGUAGCUGGUCUGAGAGGAUGAUCAGCCACACUGGAACUGAGACACGGUCCAGACUCCUACGGGAGGCAGCAGUGGGGAAUAUUGGACAAUGGGCGAAAGCCUGAUCCAGCCAUACCGCGUGGGUGAAGAAGGCCUUCGGGUUGUAAAGCCCUUUUGUUGGGAAAGAAGAGCAGCAGGUUAAUACCUCGCUGUUCUGACGGUACCCAAAGAAUAAGCACCGGCUAACUUCGUG
rnacentral:rRNA from 1 species